UUUAACACAAAAUUGAGCACUUAAUUCAACAGACAGUCUCAUUUCAAUGAAAUGAGAUAUGGUAAUUAUAUCUAAACCAAUUGAAAUCAGGUUAAACUUUAGAAUGCUCAAUUUACAUUAUGAAUGGGCAAAAGUCAUGUCUUUCAUUACUCAGGUUGUUUUCAGUAUGUGUGGUGUUCUCGUUCUUUGUUUUAAAGUGAUGUCAGUCUCAUUCCGGUCAGAGAACUAUAACACUAUACCUCACAGGCACUUGUAUUUACUACUUACCCAUCAUCCUCCAUUGUUUUCCAUUGACUUCAGCUGUAACCUGUGUGUGUUCAGAGGUUAAAAUGACCUCACCUCAAAAUUACCUGAGAGUUCAGUGACACAGAGCAACAGCUGGGAUCGUUCAGAGAGUUGGCUCCGCUGGAAACUUCAUUUCUUCGCUUCAUCAUUGUAACAAAGAAAAAAGUCAUACAGCUUUGGAAUGCCAUGCGGAGACGUGUAAUGAGGAGCCCACCUCAGCCUAAAGAUCUGUAGGAACAAAUUCCAUUUGAGUAUGAGCAGUGCAGGAGAUGAAACGGCAGACUGCCAGAGCUGUUUUUCUUCAUCUGAGGGCUUUUGAGGUCUUUUUGAGAUACAAAUUUAGAGAGAUGCCAUGAGGAGGAGACUUAAAAUAGAUUAGGGGAAAUAGAUGAAGAAACAUCACAGGCCUGGCUCGAACCUGUGUCACCCAUGAUGAGGUGAUAGGGCUCAGGGGAACUCUGUGCAGAAACUCUACAUGGCCCAGUAUGGGGAGAAGACAGGAAACUGCCUUUCAUUACAGUAUAGAGGCUUGCACAUGUGGGAGUGAUGUUGGAAUGACUCUUUCUUCCAGUCUGCAGGCAUCGCACCCGUCUACUGGUCUGCUAGGCAAAUCCUCUCCCAUCAAACUGCCUUGGGACCAGGAUUACUGAGAUUUUGAAAAUGUACCGUUCCCCUUUGUGCCCUCGAAGUGUUGACUUCCUCUUUGUGUCCAGCUAGCUGUGCAAAGCCACAUCUCAUAGCAAAGUGACUCUCUGCACUAUCAGCUGGCAUUUAGAGUUCUUUGGUAUAGAACAGACACCAUAUGGCUCGACUGACCCCGGUGUCAGAUCUUAGCUGGUUGUAACACAGGUGCUCUUUCUCCUCCUGCUCAUGUUCUGUAGGAGGGUGACGGUGGCCUUCCCCCAAGAUGCUUCAUCAUGGGUCUCGCCGGGCUCUCGCUCUUUCAGGCCGACGUUUAACUGCCACGCAAAACUGAACGCUUCACUGCUUCUUCAGUCAUUCAUGUCACAGUUAGCAGCCAAUGGUGGCUAAUGAUUUUCUGUCAUGUUCGGUGCGCUGCAUAACUGCGUAUUAGAUAUCGGCGAUGGAUGGACACAUCAACUACUAAAAUGGCUCCAUUCCCAGGGCCAUCAAAAGACACAGCUGUCCCAAAGUGGAUGAAAUAUUCUUCCACUAGUACCUGCACGCGUUCCGUUUGAUUUUUAUUAGUCACCUGCCCGGUGAUCUUUUUUUUUUUUUUUUUUUAAAGCAUGAGUGAAGAGUCUUUUUAAACUUUUAAACCUUUUUUUUAUAUAUAUGUUAAGUGGACUCCCUGGUGGAAAACUAAGUUAUACUAAGUUUAGGUGGUCAAAAUGUGUCUUGGAACAUGGAUAAAGUCAGAAAUGGCAUUUGCAAUCCAUUUUACUUCCAUAAUGUGUCAUAUUUCAGAGUAAAACAGAAUAUUCGAUGUGAAAAGCAUUCCACACCAUAAUGGAGCCAGACCUGAAUGUGACUUCACAAUGUCCCAUCCUGAAACGCCACCGGCUGCACCUUUUUAGACUUUUUGUCUGGGAUGUGGAAGCUGAAGGUAAAGUCAAGAGCAUCACAACAAUGAUCCUUUUAAUCAAAAACUGUAUUUGCUCUACUGCAUUAACUAGCGGCAAGAAAUUCUGCAUUUCAUAUUUAAUUUGUUAACUUUAUUUUUUCCCAUCCUUGCAGCCUUAGUGGCAUCUGCAAGAAAGGAAGACAGACAGACAUCAGACAGACAUAGUUUUCUUUGUACACUAAUGAAUUGGACAGACCAGGAGCAUGUGUUCAUAAUUUUUUUCUGUUGUCAUCUUAACUAACCAGACUGACAAUUUCCAAUGUGAAUGGAAUUCCAUACCUGAACAGAGCCAGAACUGAAUGCAAGUUUGUGGUCUUCUAGCUUUAAGAUUAAGGAUGCACAGUUUAUCUAAAUCAUGACAUUUUUCAGAUUAUGUUGGAGAUUUUGAAUUUGAAUUUAUUUAUUAGGAUAA